rnacentral:lncRNA from 1 species
UCCGGCCUAGGGGUUCUGUCGAGCCUCCGUCCCCGGUCUUCUCACGCGCUCACGCGCCACCACACACGGUGGUCGGAGAGUUAAAAAAAACCUCAUUCUUUCAAGAAAAUCGCAGGUAACCUCUUCCUUUUUCAUAAUAUUAUCAGUUUUUGCAAUAGAUCGAUUUGUAUACUCGUUGAAUAAAUAACAGAAUAAAAAAAACUCGAAUCACCUUUUUAAAAGAAACUACUUGAACUUCUCUUUUAUGAAUAUGUGUAAGUAUCUUUUUAUUCUGUAAAAAUCCGGUCCUUUGUAUAGAUUUGUAAAGAGGCUUUUAUAGCCUUCUAUGAACUGUUUACAUUUAGAAAGAAAUCUUUGAUUUCUUUUCCCUAUCCGUUUUCCUUUUCUGUUGUAUUUUCUUUCUCUUUUUGCAGGCAAUCGAGGAAAGGAGACCACCAGCGUUGAUUCAGCCGUCGAUCACGGCGUGAUACGAGGCCGGAGUCACGGUGUUGAUUCGGGUCACUGCGAGACGAAUGGACACGAGUCGAAGGGGCGUGACUCUUGGACUGAUUGCGGCGCGAAGUUUCUGGAAACCCUAGGGUUUCCAGAUUUAGUUUCGGCACUAGGCCUCACUGGUUUGGGUCUGGCUCGGGUAUUCGGGCUUGGGUGUAACCGGGUUUUGGGUAGUAACGAGUCUGCUGGGUUUAAGCUAAAUGAGUCGAUAAAUUGUAAUGGGCUGUAAAUGAAAUUUGG